rnacentral:rRNA from 1 species
GACGAACGCUGGCGGCGUGCCUAAUACAUGCAAGUCGAACGCUGAAGGAGGAGCUUGCUUCUCUGGAUGAGUUGCGAACGGGUGAGUAACGCGUAGGUAACCUGCCUGGUAGCGGGGGAUAACUAUUGGAAACGAUAGCUAAUACCGCAUAACAGUAGAUAUCGCAUGAUAUCUACUUGAAAGGUGCAAUUGCAUCACUACCAGAUGGACCUGCGUUGUAUUAGCUAGUUGGUGAGGUAACGGCUCACCAAGGCGACGAUACAUAGCCGACCUGAGAGGGUGAUCGGCCACACUGGGACUGAGACACGGCCCAGACUCCUACGGGAGGCAGCAGGAGGGAAUCUUCGGCAAGGGACGGAAGUCUGACCGAGCAACGCCGCGUGAGGGAAGAAGGUUGUCGGAUCGUAAAGCUCGGUUGUAAGAGAAGAACGAGUGUGAGAGUGGAAAGUUCACACUGUGACGGUAUCUUACCAGAAAGGGACGGCUAACUACGUG